rnacentral:rRNA from 1 species
GACAGAGGUCCCGAGCGUUAGGCGGAAUCACUGGGCUUAAAGCGUGUGUAGGCGGACUUGUAAGUACCUUGUGAAAUCCCACGGCUCACCCGUGGAACUGCUUGGUAUACUGCGAGUCUUGAGCCACCUAGGGGCGAGCGGAACAAACGGUGGAGCGGUGAAAUGCGUAGAUAUCGUUUGGAACGCCAAUGGUGAAAACAGCUCGCUGGGAGUGUGCUGACGCUGAGACACGAAAGCCAGGGGAGCAAACGGG